CAGCAGCCACGGUAAUACGAAGGGGGCUAGCGUUGUUCGGAUUUACUGGGCGUAAAGCGCACGUAGGCGGACUUUUAAGUCAGGGGUGAAAUCCCGGGGCUCAACCCCGGAACUGCCUUUGAUACUGGGAGUCUUGAGUUCGAGAGAGGUGAGUGGAAUUGCGAGUGUAGAGGUGAAAUUCGUAGAUAUUCGCAGGAACACCAGUGGCGAAGGCGGCCAUCUGGGACAACACUGACGCUGAGGCACGAAAGCGUGGGGAGCAAACAGGAUUAGAGACCCGAGUAGUCCCUGUCUCUUAUAC
rnacentral:rRNA from 1 species